rnacentral:piRNA from 1 species
UCAUACGAUAUUCCUUUCCUUUGGAU